UUUAUGGAGAGUUUGAUCCUGGCUCAGGACGAACGCUGGCGGCGUGCCUAAUACAUGCAAGUCGAGCGGACCGUAAGGUCAGCGGCGGACGGGUGAGUAUCACGUGAGUAAUCGGGCUUG
rnacentral:rRNA from 1 species